ACGUUAAGGGAUAAGAAAAGAGCAGAUUGGGUGAGGCAACAAACGCGGGUAAACGACAUCUUAGUUGAAAUCAAGAAAAAGAAAUGGGCAUGGGCCGGACAUGUAAUGAGGAGGGAAGAUAACCGAUGGUCACUAAGAGCUACGGACUGGAUUCCAAGAGAAGGGAAGCGUAGCAGGGGGCGGCAGAAAGUUAGGUGGGCAGAUGACAUUAAGACGUUUGCAGGGACAACAUGGCCACAAUUAGUACAUGACCGGGGCAGUUGGAGAAGUAUGGGAGAGGCCUUUGCCCUGCAGUGGGCGUAACUAGGCUGAUGAUGAUGAUGACCAAUCCCUCCAAAAUAUUACACAGACGCACGCACGCACGCACGUGCACAGCACACACGCCAAAAGGAAACGGCGACGCGCUCACAGGAAGCGCCUGACAAAAAAAAAAAAAAGAAAAAAAAGGAAAAGUGUGGGGAACCGAGGUCGUUUGCGCUGUCGCAUCUCCCUCUCCCAGAAGGAAUGAAGAGGUUCUUGGAAAGCAGGGACGGGCGAUUCUCUCUGUCAGCAUCAGCUCCCACCAGCGAGGACGGGGCGAGAAAGCGAAGCGGGACUUUCCUUGCUGUCUAUUUUUUCUUCGUCACGCUCACCGCCGGCUGCCCGCAGGGGCGCAGGCGAGUUCCCGCCAAAUGGCGCGGGGGCGCAAGCAGUUGCGUGAGUUGCCGCCAAAUGCUAGCUCUGGAUGCCAGCUCGUUCCGCGUCUCUUGGUAGACUAGUUGGUGCAUUUCUGUUAUCAUGGACUGCGCAUAGAAACGCAAACUACACAAAAGUGACUAGGACAAAAACAGCGCAAGCCCUUUCCAUGCAGUGGAGCCGCCGUAUCUCGCCGUUCAAGAUAUGCGUACUCGAAACACUGGAACGACACUGCUUAAAUUGAAGCACAGUGUGCGAAUGACCUGCUACGCUCGGAACUGUCGCCACCAUUCGGGAAGAAAUCAGAUGAAAAAACAAAACUGUAUAUGCCUGUACGAUAUACGUCUGGUGCAUUGCAGACCACGAUAACCACGUAUUUGGAUGUCUGGUUUAGCUCUACAUGCGCUGGUUCGUGCAGGGCAUACUUACAAAUGAAGCUGCACUGCAGUUCAGCUGGAAAGGGUCGCAGGGGAGGAAGCACGCCUUCGUGAAGCUCCCGGCCAUCACGAAUCUCAUUCUAACAUCUGUGAGGAGCACCUUCCCAGACGCUUCACUAGCUUCAGUGGCUGGAGUCACGAAACGCUGGUUAGUCGGAGCAGCUGACAGGGAUGGAGGCCGGAACGAGAGAAGGCGUCGUGACCCCGCUUCAAGCCCACCAUGAACUAGCAUUUGAAACUUUUGUGAACGUGUGGGUGUAUACAUAUCCAAGACAAAUACAAGAAAUAAAGACCUGCAU